rnacentral:tRNA from 1 species
CCGAGUACUGGCCGAAGGCAUGCAGGCUGCGGCCCGGCGAGCCCUGGUCGUUCCACACGGCCUGGUCGACC